rnacentral:rRNA from 1 species
GCUUGCUUUCUCAAGCGAGUGGCGAACGGGUGAGUAACGCGUGAGGAACCUGCCUCAAAGAGGGGGACAACAGUUGGAAACGACUGCUAAUACCGCAUAAGCCCACGACCCGGCAUCGGGUAGAGGGAAAAGGAGCAAUCCGCUUUGAGAUGGCCUCGCGUCCGAUUAGCUAGUUGGUGAGGUAAUGGCCCACCAAGGCGACGAUCGGUAGCCGGACUGAGAGGUUGAACGGCCACAUUGGGACUGAGACACGGCCCAGACUCCUACGGGAGGCAGCAGUGGGGAAUAUUGCACAAUGGGGGAAACCCUGAUGCAGCGACGCCGCGUGGAGGAAGAAGGUCUUCGGAUUGUAAACUCCUGUUGUUGAGGAAGAUAAUGACGGUACUCAACAAGGAAGUGACGGCUAACUACGUGCCAGCAGCCGCGGUAAAACGUAGGUCACAAGCGUUGUCCGGAAUUACUGGGUGUAAAGGGAGCGCAGGCGGGAAGACAAGUUGGAAGUGAAAUCCAUGGGCUCAACCCAUGAACUGCUUUCAAAACUGUUUUUCUUGAGUAGUGCAGAGGUAGGCGGAAUUCCCGGUGUAGCGGUGGAAUGCGUAGAUAUCGGGAGGAACACCAGUGGCGAAGGCGGCCUACUGGGCACCAACUGACGCUGAGGCUCGAAAGUGUGGGUAGCAAACAGGAUUAGAUACCCUGGUAGUCCACACUGUAAACGAUGAUUACUAGGUGUUGGAGGAUUGACCCCUUCAGUGCCGCAGUUAACACAAUAAGUAAUCCACCUGGGGAGUACGACCGCAAGGUUGAAACCCAAAGGAAUUGACGGGGGCCCGC